rnacentral:rRNA from 1 species
CCCUUAGAUGUCCUGGGCCGCACGCGCGUUACACUGAUGCAUUCAACGAGCUUAUAACCUUGGCCGAGAGGCCUGGGCAAUCUUGUUAACGUGCAUCGUGAUAGGGAUAGAUUAUUGAAAUUAUUAAUCUUGAACGAGGAAUUCCUAGUAAACGCAAGUCAUCAGCUUGCAUUGAUUACGUCCCUGCCCUUUGUACACACCGCCCGUCGCACCUACUGAUUGAAUGACUCGGUGAAAAAUCGGGACUGCGAGAACAAUCGAUUAAUUUCGAAUGUACUUGUGGGAACUUUUUUUAACCUCGCCAUUUAGAAGAAGGUGAAGUCGUAACA